rnacentral:rRNA from 1 species
UACAGAGGGAGCAAGCGUUGUUCGGAAUUACUGGGCGUAAAGGGCGCGUAGGCGGUUCGAUAAGUCCCGUGUGAAAUCCCUCGGCUCAACUGAGGAAUGGCACGGGAAACUGACGGGCUUGAGUUCGGGAGAGGGAAGCGGAAUUCCGGGUGUAGCGGUGAAAUGCGUAGAUAUCAGGAGGAACACCUGCGGUGUAGACGGCUUACUGGACCAUCACUGACGCUGAGGCACGAAAGCGUGGGUAGCAAACAGG